AAAGAUGAAGUUCUUCGCCGCCCUGAUCUUCGCUGCUCUGAUCUGCGGAAGCCAUGCCUUCUCU
rnacentral:ribozyme from 1 species